rnacentral:lncRNA from 1 species
AAACAACAAAUAAUGAGUAAUCGAUAUGGUGAUAAAUAAAAGGUGUUUUAUUUAUACUCAAAGGUUUGGGGCCAUAUGGGAUUAGUAUUAUUCUUGUGUUUCACUUUGCAUGUUUUGACUUCCUGAAUAAUUUAAUUGGUUAAGAACAGUCAAAUUAUUCGAAUGGACCACAGUCGUUCAUAUGUUGGAAGUAGGUAUGAAUGAAGACUGUCGUGAAUUGGUGUGUGGAUUGUCUAAAGUGUAUUAGACAUAAGCAAAUGUUUGCUACAACGUUCAUGAGUGCUUAUGAAUAUGAUUUGAGCAUUGGAUUAAACCCACGCUCACUUGGAUCACUUCAUGGAUUUUAUCACGAGUGAUUGGUGAGAUGAUAACAUCUUAUAUUCUUGAAACCGAGAUGUGUGAGUUGUAUCUUGCGAGUCGGUAACACAUUGAUAAUAUGUAAACGCACCAGUAACUUGGUCUUAUAAAACAUAUUGUUGUGUGUGAUUUGGUAAGUGAGUGCAAGCAAGCAUUGAUUCAAAGUUUAACCGUUCCUUUUAUCCAAAAUGGGAUGAAAGCGAUAUCUGUGGGCCCCUCGAUGAUUUAGUGGUGGCACCUAAGCGUUUGGCCAAGCCGGGACUAAUUUGAUGUGUUCAAAUGUAGUCUGUUGUCAGUCGUCAUAAAUCGGAAAUCGGGAAACAAUAUAGAAAGAAUGAUUGAAAUCCAUGUCUCACGUCUAUACGAUAUCUAGAAUGGAGGAAUAUAUGAUCCCUUAUCUAAAGGACACGCUUCUGAUAGGAUCAGAGUUGACAGCGGUUUUUUGAAAGCUACGAUUGCAUAUUAGGAUCUGAAGUCAUAUGCAGAAUAGUUAUUAGACUUAUCCAAGUGGGAGACUGUUGGAUUAGUGUCUAAGUCCAUAACUAUUUUGGUAUGUACUUGACCCGAUGGUGCAUGGUCCUUUUGGGUUGCCUUCACCAAAGCAACUUGAUAGGAUGAAUUAUGGAGAGAAAGGAUUAAAUAUGAUUUAUUAAUAUAUUAUGAGAAUAAUAUAUUAAAGGAGAAAUCAUAUUGUUUAAUUAAUAUUAGUUAAGAAUUAAUAAGAAUUAAGUUUGUGGCUAAAAGAGAUUAAUUAAACUUAAGGGACUGGAAUUGUAAUUAUAAGAUAAUUGAAAUUGGGCCAUGGAUUACCUUAUAAUAUAAGGUUGGACGAAUUCUAUGGGGAAACCCAUUAGAAAUCGUCCAAGGCUUGUUAAGGAAAGAGUCCAUGGGUUGCUUAGGGCUUAAGCAUCCAAAUUAGGGUUUCCUUGUUAGAUAACCCUAAUAGUCUCACUAUUUAAAGAUCCCUAGAGCCUCAAAAACAUGGAGAACUUGUUAAUUAGGGUUUCUACACGUUUUGGGCAACCUCUUUCUCUUCUCUUCUUCAUCCUCGUGCUCUUGGUGUUUGUCAACCAUUAGAGGAGUGACAUUUGUGACUCUAAGCUUUCUAAAGUCAUUACAAGAAGGAUUUGAGAUUGUUACUGCUACAUAACAAUCAAGGUAUGAUCUAAACCCUAAUUCAUAUGUUAUAUUGAUUAUCAUAUACUAGAUCUAGAGUUUAUAGUCUUGGAUAACUUGCAUGUACAUAGAGAAACCUAGAUCCAAGCAUUAGGGUUUUAUGAGCACAUAAGAUGUUCUUAUAGCUAAAACCCAUCAGUGGUAUCAGAGACUUGAUUGGUUUCUAUUGAAUUGAUGCCUUGUAUGUUUUUUCAAGUUGCAAAAUCGGUUUUUUGGUCACCUGCCUGAUGAACUCGGCGAGUACCACAGUGUACUCGGCGAGUCCAGUGUGGUACUCGGCGAGUUCGAGCGUCAGAUUGAGCUAUUUUCGGGAUUUCUUGCUGUUUUACUCAUGGAUUCUUACCUUAUCUAUUUUAGGUCAUUAAAAUCCGAUUUUAUACAUAUUUAUGAGUAUAUCCUUGAUUAAACAAAAGAUAAUUACCAAUUGAUUAGAUAAUAACUUUCUUAUAUGAUAAAGUUUGAUUAUUUGUAUUAAUUGGGUAAGUUAUAUUGCAAGAAAUUGAUUUUAGGUCAAAUAUGGAUAAUGAUAAAAUUAAUUGUUUAAUUUAUAUUAUUUGUUAUUUGAUCCUUGUGUUAUGAAAAGUUUCAGUUUUUCCCCCUUAGGUUUUAUAGUUUAAAUUUGAACAUAAGAGUUUUGUUUUUGAAAUUUGAAUAGUUAAACCCUAAUGUUUUGAAAAAGUUUUCAAAACUUGCCCUCAAGUUUUGGAAUUUAAAUUUUUGAUUAAAAGUUUAAUUUUGACGUAUAUUUAAAUUCUAAGCCCUAAUGUUUUAAAAUGUUUCAAAACUUGCCUUCAUGUUUUGGAAUUUAAAAGUUGAUUAAAAGUUUAAUUUAGGAAUGUUAAAUUCUAAAACCCUAGUAUUGUUUUGAAAAGUUCAUAUCAAACUCUUAUGGUUUUAUUAAUUAAUUAAGGUGUAUAAUUAAAAGAGGUUUAAUAAAUCCACAAAGUUUUGGUUUACAAUUUAAUUGAAUUAAAAGUAUAAUUGUUAAAUUUGACCACCUAGUAUUUUAAAAGUGUAAUAUACACCCUAUACUAUAUAUAACAUUAAAAGUCUAACAUUAUAUAUGUAUGAGUAAAAGCCAGUCUUACCGUUAGUAGGCCUCAUUCACGAAGCUGGUCUAUAAGGGGUGUUUAAGGAAAUUGCCUAUAAAAUGGCGAUUGAAUGGGUAUCCACUCUUACCCACCGCACUCUUGACUAGUGGAGGGUCGUUAGCCGAACGGGUAGGAUAGGACGAAACCUUCCAUUAUAAGUAUAAUGAAGUAUAAAAGUAACUAAAUGUUUUCUAAAAAUUCCCAAUCUUAGUUACUUAGGCAAAAGUGAAUUGAUGCAAUUCCAUGAAAUUACACUUUGUGCCCUUGCGAAGACGUUAGUGGAGCGUGUGUGGUUUACCGGCACACUAAAUGGUUCUAAGCAAAGGUAGCAAAGGGUGACUCAAUGUUUGUCAUAGUUCGGUGGAGCGUGUGUGGUUUACCGGCACAUCGAAUAGGUGACUGUAACAUGUGAGGGCACCAUGUAAAUUUGCAUGGUUAUUCACACCCGCUUUGUGAUCCUCGGCAUCCCAGUCACAAACUAGAGGGGCAUAUCGAGAUUUAAAAUAUGCCAUUGAAAAUUUCAAUGAAUCUUAAAGGAUCUAGGAGUUUUCAAUACUUUUAAAACUUAAUUUGUUUUUCGUUUUUCAUGGUGGAAAAUUAGUGAAUAUUCAUUCACUUACCUUCAAAUGUUCUGCAAUUUGGGUUAUGACAUCCCUCUCCCGAGUUGUAGAAUAUUGUGCUGGGUCCUAGCCUUAGUAUCUCAUUUGGGUGAUUUACUAAGGACUCAAUCAAUCAACUAACUUGAAUUUAUUUUUCUCCCGUUUUGUAGAUGUCAAAGUACGACAACUAUGGUCUUCCCAAAUCCCGUGGAACAAGCAUUCCACAUGAAGAUGAUAUUCCACGAUUCGAUCGAGGAACAAGAUAUCAUGCUUCAUUUCCUCCACCUCCUCCAAUUAUUCUCCCUAACCCACAAGAUCGAAGAAUUGAAAGGUUCAAUGUCACUAAAGCCCUAUUGGAAAUGAAACAUGAAGAUGGUAAACCCGUGUGUGCCCACGUUCUAGGAAUGAAAUCACACAUCGAUAGGUUGAUAAUGUUGGGUGCGUCAUUCCCGGAUAAGUUGGCUGUGAACUGGGUUCUGCAGUCACUCCCUGAAUCAUAUAAUGAGUUCAAAAGAAAGUAUUAUAUGAUGGAUCAUGACGAAAACCUCAUUGACCUAAUUUACAUGCUCAUUGCUGCUGAAUCAGAAAUGAUUUGGCAAAGCAAUGGAACGUAUUUGUCAGGAAAGUCAACCAACCAUGCUUCCGAGGACGUUCUAGGAGAACCGACCUGCAUUUGCUACCAAGAGAAAGGGCGUUGGAUACAAGUUUUCCCUGAGAGCCUGAAAAGUCCAGAAGAUGGGAGAGUCAAAGAGUAUGGUUGUGCUUCAGGUAAAAUCCACUAUCGAAUUCCAUUAAGUUCCUAUUCAUUGAUUCUUAAUACAUGAUGUGAUAAGAUUGCAUUUGAAUGUUUUGUAGGAUCAGUGAAAAGAAAGGAAGCUUGAUGAAAGAGCAAGAUAAGUCUAAUCACAAAGAAAUGGAUCUCGAUCGCAUGGAUUUGAAGAUAUUAGAUUUUGAGCUUAGAGAGUUAUGAUAGGGUUGUUAGGAAUAUUUGAUUAAAUAGUUUUUCAGUUGAUUUUGCAUUGUAAGGAAAAAUGUUUUCCGCUGCUUUUAUGAAUAAAAUAAAUUUUGGUUUGACUCAUUUAUUUAUUUAUUUAUUUCUUUGCAAUGAAAUCGUUAUGAAAAAUUGAUGUUCAUAUAUUUCUACAACAAGUGGAUGUGAUUCUUAAUUAUGUUGUUUAUGGAAAUGUCGAGAAUUUACCAAAUAGGGAGAGUUUCUCAUCAUCCAAGUUUCAAGUGGACAAAACCUUGGAAUCAUGCAACUUGGUUGCACGAUGAAUGAGAAAUUUCAUGUUUGGAAAUUAGACUAAUUCGUUGACAAAGUGUCGAGUAAAGGACUAGGAGAUCGAGUACACAAAGCUGUGUGUUGAUCAAGUCCACCACAAGAAUAACAAAGAUAUUCGUCAUGGUUUGCUAAAGGCUUAGUAAAUAUGAUUAUACUCAUAAGAUUAAGUGUAAUUAUGAAUUGAUUGAAAAGGUUUAAAUCAAUAGCAAAACGAAUAAAAAGAAUCAAGUAGGCAGAAAGAUAAAAGUUUCUCUAUUCUAAGAAGAAGGGAGAGUACCUUUUAUGCUUUAUGAUAUGUCUUAAUGAUUAAGAACCAUAUCUCAAUUGAUCCUCUAGGUGAAUCUUAGUACAAUUGUAUGUCUGAGAAGAGGAAUCAAGAAUUGAAGAAAUGGUUAAAUCAAAAAGUCAAUCAUACUUCAUUCCAAAACAAAUCUUAAAGUUAAGAUUAUGACAUUAAGUGACAAGUCUUAAGAAGGUUAAUGACAUUCAUCAAAUGUGGAAAGUUGUGAUGUCUUGGAUAAGACAAAGACCAACUAGGACCAAAUUUAUGAAAUGUUUUGUCUUGAUAAAAGCUACACUAACUCUUGAAUAUUUGUUUGUCGAGAAAUGUUUAUUGACAAGAGAAUCUUAUAUGUCAAGGAGUCAGUGGGAGCCUUAAUGGUCUUGAAAGGUUUCAAGAACAAAUCAAGAAUAAACCUUAUCGAUCAUCACUAGCACACAAGUUAAGGUUUACAACCUAUAGUGUAGACACUAUCUUGUUUCUAUGCCAUUCCAAUUGAGUUAAUUAUGCAUGUGAGUUCCAUGAGUUCUCACUUGAACGCAUAAAAGGCAAGCACCUUGAUCAAUGAAAAGUACAUUGAUAGGAAAGGGUGAGCUGCUUAACUACUUGGAAGACAUGGUGGGCAGCUGUGUUACCAUAAGGCAAGAAAUCUAGAUUAAGAGUUCGGUCCAUAUGAGUUUGAAUUUGUCAUAAACUUUGGUUUUAACAAAUUCACAUGGAUACGAACACAUACACCAUUAAAAUCUAAGUGUCAUAAGAUUCCCUCCUUCAUGGAAAUGACUGUGAGGAAAUGCUUUCACUAAGAGAGAUUUUAAGAAGAUAGUGAUUGUGAAAAUUGGAUUCUCGAAUUCGAUUAUGGUUACGGUAUCCCUUUCCAUGAUUCGAAUUGUGAGAUUUGGCAAUUAGUCUGAAUUGUUCAGACACACAUAUGAGCUAUCUAAGACAAAGGUGUAUAAGUUUAAGAAGCCUUGAUAAAAGAUUAUCAAAGCAUUAGGUAUUAGAAACAUGAACUUAAGAAAUUCAAUAAGUAUUGUUUUUCUAGAAGUUAAGCUGGUUUCUGAAUACAUGUCAAAGCUAGUGGGAGCAUAAGUGUUAUGUUUAUAAUAAUCAUCAUGAUAGUGGGAGCAUAAAUGUUAUGNUGAGCUAUCUAAGACAAAGGUGUAUAAGUUUAAGAAGCCUUGAUAAAAGAUUAUCAAAGCAUUAGGUAUUAGAAACAUGAACUUAAGAAAUUCAAUAAGUAUUGUUUUUCUGGAAGUUAAGCUGGUUUCUGAAUACAUGUCAAAGCUAGUGGGAGCAUAAGUGUUAUGUUUAUAAUAAUCAUCAUAGUGGGAGCAUAAAUGUUAUGAUUAUAUGAUUAUUAAAGGCAAGUAUUGCAAGUUAGCAAUAUUAAUUAUAGAAAAACAAGAGUUAUACUUUGCAAAGUUGUAAGGGUUGAAUAGUUGUUUUGCUAUAAUUAAGGGAGAGAAUAUUAUGCUUCAUUUCAAAUCUAAAGGCUUAGGUUGUGGAAUGUUAAUAAAUUUAGUCAAGGAUACAUAGUGCGUUCUUAAAUUUCGAUUAUGAUUACGACAUUCCUCUUCAUAGUUCGAAUUGUGAGAACGUAGCACAUAAAAUAUUAUGGCAGAAGAUUGAUAAAGUAUCAAAUCUUUAUGUAAUACAUUAUGCAUCAUGUCCCAUAUGAUUCGGAUAUAGGAUCAAUUGCAAAGUCUAUAAUAUUUGACCAUUCUUAAAUUUUCCAAAUGUCUGGCGAAUUUAGAGGGAAAAAGGAUAAGAAUCGGUUUUGACUAAGAUAAUUAAACAACUAUCAAAGGACAAUUCAAAGUUCGCUGAGGAUUGGUCGCUUGUGAGUAGUUGGAAGUAUGAUAUUGGAUGGACCAUAUCGACAUUAUUAUGAAUAGAUAAGAUUCUAUUAAGAAUGAGUUGUCAUAUGGAAAAUAUGGAAAUAUUUCCAUAUUGGGAGUUGGAUAUUGAGAGUAUAUGUCUGGAUUAGAAAUUUUAUGCAAAAGGAUGUUCGAAGGAAUGUACCUUGAGUGAGAGACAUCAUGUCUAUGAAAUUGUAUUGUAACAAUCACAAAUAUAGGACUUUGUAAUUUUAUUGGCAAUAGUCAUUGUGACUUUAGUGCAGUGAUAUUAUGAAAGGAUCAUUUCAUAAAAUGUUAGAAUCUCACAUAUUCCAUAAGUGGAAAGAAUUUGAUAUUCUUUCACUUGUGAAAACAAUUAGGAGUUGUGAAAUGAGUAUGAUUGGAAAUGUGUUCAUUUGAUCUAUUUCACAAAUUAAGAACCGUAGGUAAACAUUGUGUGCAUGCUGGGAGCAUGGGACAAGUGUUGUAAUAAUUCAAGUAAGAAGUUGAUUACCCGAAACAACAAAUAAUGAGUAAUCGAUAUGGUGAUAAGUAAAAGGUGUUUUAUUUAUACUCAAAGGUUUGAGGCCAUAUGGGAUUAGUAUUAUUCUUGUGUUUCACUUUGCAUGUUUUGACUUCCUGAAUAAUUUAAUUGGUUCAGAACGGUCAAAUUAUUCAAACGGGCCACAGUCGUUCAUAUGUUGGAAGUAGGUAUGAAUGAAGACUGUCGUGAAUUGGUGUGUGGAUUGUCUAAAGUGUAUUAGACAUAAGAAAAUGUUUGCUGCAAUGUUCAUGAGUGCUUAUGAAUAUGAUUUGAGUAUUGGAUUAAACCCACACUUACUUGGAU